UACAGAGGGUGCGAGCGUUGUCCGGAAUCACUGGGCGUAAAGGGCGCGUAGGCGGCGCGGUAAGCGUGCGGUGAAAGCCCGGGGCUCAACCCCGGGUCGGCCGUGCGGACUGCCGGGCUGGAGCACUGUAGAGGCAGGUGGAACUCCGGGUGUAGCGGUGGAAUGCGUAGAGAUCCGGAAGAACACCGGUGGCGAAGGCGGCCCGCUGGGCAGUGGCUGACGCUGAGGCGCGACAGCGUGGGGAGCAAACAGG
rnacentral:rRNA from 1 species